CCUAGAGUUGUAGGCUUUGCCUGCUAUCUCUUACCCAUGUCUUUUGAGUACUUACGUUUCCUCGGCGGGUCCGCCCGCCGAUUGGACAAUUUAAACCAUUUGCAGUUGCAAUCAGCGUCUGAAAAACUUUAAUAGUUACAACUUUCAACAACGGAUCUCUUGGUUCUGGCAUCGAUGAAGAACGCAGCGAAAUGCGAUAAGUAGUGUGAAUUGCAGAAUUCAGUGAAUCAUCGAAUCUUUGAACGCACAUUGCGCCCCUUGGUAUUCCAUGGGGCAUGCCUGUUCGAGCGUCAUUUGUACCUUCAAGCUUUGCUUGGUGUUGGGUGUUUGUCUCGCCUCUGCGUGUUAGACUCGCCUUAAAACAAUUGGCAGCCGGCGUGUUGAUUUCGGAGCGCAGUACAUCUCGCGCUUUGCACUCAUAACGACGACGUCCAAAAGUACAUUUUUACACUCUUGACCUCGGAUCAGGUAGGGAUACCCGCUGAACUUAAGCAUAUCAAUAAGCGGAGAUCGUAGCCUUGGUCAUUUAGAGGAAGUAAAAGUCGUAACAAGGUUUCCGUAGGUGAACCUGCGGAAGGAUCAUUCAUAAUAAGUGUUUUAUGGCACUUUUUAAAUCCAUAUCCACCUUGUGUGCAAUGUCAGUCGAUCUUCUUCAUGGAGAUCGACCAAACAUCAACCUUUAUCUUUUAACUCUUUGUCUGAAAAAUAUUAUGAAUAAACAAUUCAAAAUA
rnacentral:misc_RNA from 1 species